GACGAACGCUGGCGGCGUGCUUAACACAUGCAAGUCGAACGAGGCCCCUCUCUUCGGAGAAGGUGCCCUAGUGGCGAACGGGUGAGUAACACGUGGGCAACCUGCCCCUGCCACUGGGAUAACCUCGGGAAACCGGGGCUAAUACCGGAUACGACCUCCUUGGGCAUCCUUGGCGGUGGCAAGGAUUCUGGCUAGGGAUGGGCCCGCGGCCUAUCAGCUUGUUGGUGGGGUAACGGCCCACCCAGGCUCCGACGGGUAGCCGGUCUGAGAGGGCUACCGGCCACACUGGGACUGAGACACGGCCCAGACUCCUACGGGAGGCAGCAGUGGGGAAUAUUGCACAAUGGGCGAAAGCCUGAUGCAGCGACGCCGCGUGAGGGAAGACGGCCUUCGGGUUGUAAACCUCUUUCAGCCUUGACGAAGCGAAAGUGACGGUAAAGGCAGAAGAAGCACCGGCCAACUACGUGCCAGCAGCCGCGGUAA
rnacentral:rRNA from 1 species